GGGUGGGGGUGUAUAUUUUGGAGAAGUUUGCCUUUUGUUUUUAUUGUCUAGUGAACUGUUUUGUAUUUACAUUGGAGUGCUUGAGGAUAAGUAUGAAUGCAAUAACAACAACAACAAAAACCAACAACUAUGCCUUCAUCCCAAACUAGUUGAAGUAAGGAAAAAAACCCUUGUCAAAUAAAAUCGUGCUAGUGCCCUCGACUUGAAGUCUUAAACCAAAUUGCUUGAGGAUAAGUACGAAGUAUACAACUUAUUACAAAACAAUAUCGCAAAGUCUCCAGCCUCUGAGCUUCUGCCUAAGUCAAGAACUUCAAUCAGAACAAAAGGUCCUGUAUCUUCCUAUUACUCUGUAGUACAUCAGUCAUCGAGUACUUUAUGACUUAAAGUUGAUUGCUUGACCAAAGGAUAAAGUAUAGCCCUAAAGUCAUGGCAUGUCGAGCACGGAACAUUUUCAACUCUGCCCUUUCUUUUGAUUUGGCAUGGUGAUCAACAGGUGGUUCUCUAUAGGCUAGUCCUGCUGUUUUGAUGAGGGCAACGUUCCCCUGUUUGAUUUGCUGUGUAUACUCUUUACAAGCUUUAAGGUCUCCUUUGCUUAUUCUAAUUCUGAUUCUGUUUCUUUGUCUGCCAGAGGGACAAAAUUGAGGAGGCU
rnacentral:misc_RNA from 1 species